CUAACCCUAGCCCAUUCUCCAAGCCGCCGCCGCUACCGCCUCCCGCCCCUGGCACCGCCACCAUGCCCACUCGCCGUCGCGCCUUCCCCUCCUCUUCGCCAUCUCGCUGCUCAGCAGGCGGGCUGACCGGGCGUCUCCCCCGCGACCCGCAUCCCCUCUUCCCGCCGCCGCCGGCUCCUCUCCUCUCCCCGCGCCUCGUCUGCCUCCCUCUCCCUCGUCUCCUCUCCCGCACUGCUAGCCCCUUCUCACUCCUCGCCCCAGCCAUCUCUCUCCUCCCCCGCGCCGCCAGCCCCAGAUCUGGAGGAAGACGAGAGACGCGGGAUCCGCUGCUUCCCCUAGCGCCGUCCCCAUCCUCCUCCCCUGGACACAGUGAGCGUGAGCGAUAGGGCGAGGAGCAAGGCUAGUGACUGGCCAUUUCCAUUCCAAGGCAUCCCCGGCGUCGGUGUCGUUGUCCUCGCGUGCACCUGCAUCGCCAUUGACGAGAGGGGUAGGAACCACCGGCCACUCCUCUGGCUACCAACCCUUCUCCCUCGCCCUCAGCCUCGACACCGUUGGGAACAGGGAAGUCAUCAGCGACGAUGCCGGCAAGGCCGCACUGCCAACCGACUGCGUGUGCCGCCUACCAUGACCAGUAAGUUCUAGAAGAAAGAGGAGACAGAAAGAGAGAGAUGGAGUGAGAAGAAGAUACAGUGAGGGAAGAGGGAUGCCAUUGUACUAAUUGUGGAUGACCUACAGAAUGAGAAGGCUUUCUUGAAGCGGCCAAAGAUCUUCCUUUGCUAAAAGUAAGCUGACUAUGUCUGCCUGGCAAGGCAGCUAAUCACAUGACGAGUUUGGACAAUGAUGAUAGUCAUUUAAUUUUACUGCUUGCUUGGUAUUUGUUUAUGCAUACGAACAAAUCUGAUUAUGAUUGCUGCAUUGCAUAAGGUUGCUUCCUUCUGAUGAUAAAUGUCGAAUGACUAUGGUAGUUUUUUUGGCUUCACUACAUAAGGUUGCCUGUUCCUGGCUCAGACCCAUAUGUCACUCCAAUAUCUUCCUUUCUGCUCCAUAAAAGGUUCUGGUAUGUCUCAAUUCAUUCUCAGGGCAUUCAUGUCUGGUUUGUGAGGUCUGCUAAGUUUAACUCUUGCACUGCAAGAUAGGUUUCCAUCCAUUAUUACUUUUGAAUGACAACAAGUUCAGAAAUUGUUGCUCUGUAGUGAUAGUACUCUUAGAUUAUUUCAGUCUUAUUGGUUUGGAUGCUGGAAAUAUUUGUUUGUGUAAAUAAUGGUGCAUCACAACAUUUGGAUUUUAAAUUCUUAGAUUGUUUGCUAUGAUAAGGAAGUAGUCAUGUAUACAUAUACUAAUGUAGCAAUUUACCUUGCUGCUUUCGGGCCAGUCGGGGGAGCUUAUGGCAGGGUCAGCAGCUUCAGCUGCACCAAUGCAACUGUAUGUCUCUUUAGAAUAUGUACUCGGCUCAAAAUAAAA